AUGCAGGAAUCAGUGGAGUGUCAGGAAUUCCAGUUUGGUGGGAGGCAAAGCACAGCCUCAUCCCAGAUGAUCCCUGCCUUUCCCACAUUUUCCUUGGAAAAGGGCUCAGAGGUCCAGGGGAAGUGGAGAGGGUGGAGUGGGAAUGAGGUGGGAUGUGAGGAGGGGGAGCUGCUGGAAUGGGGUGGGAAAAGGAGAGAAAUGGGGGAAAGAAUGAAAAGGGAAAAGGGAGGGAAAUGGGGGAAAAGGAGGGAAAAGGGAAAGGAAAAAAGAAAGGGGAAAGGAGAGUGGGAAAAAAGAGGGGGAAAGGAAAAGAAAGGAAAGGAAAUGGGAAAGGAAAGGAAAUGGGAAAGGAAAGGAAAUGGGAAAGGAAAGGAAAUGGGAAAGGAAAGGAAAUGGGAAAGGAAAGGNNNNNNNNNNNNNNNNNNNNCUCUCUCUCUCUCUCUCUCUCUCUUCCCCCCCCUUAAAUUUUCCCUUUCUUUUGCCUGGAAUUCCACUUCCAGCUGUCCGUGCAAACAGAGCAGCCCGGAGGGAGCUUCCAUCCCUCUCUCCAUCCCUGCAUCCCUCCCCGCACCUUCCAUCCAUCUUUUCCUAAAGAAAUCCGGUCCCGGGCUCGGGGCAGCCUUUCCCGUUCUCCCGUUCCCUCUUCCCGGUUCUGUCCCUCUGGGAUCCAUCUCCGCGGGGGUCAGAAAACCCCUGUGCCCGCCGUCUGGAGCCGAUCCUGGGAUUUUCCCAGUGUUACACAGCCUCUGGACACCCUCGGACAGGAGUGCUCCUUUCAGAAUAUUUCGGGGUUAUUUUUUCUACUUUUUCCCCUUUUUCCCCCCUUUUUUUUUCUGUGUGUAUUUUUUGCUUCCUUUGAUUUUUCUUCUUUUUUCCCUUCUUGAAUUUUCCUUUUCUUUUUCUCUUUUUUUAAUCCUUUCCGCACUUAUUUUCCUAUUCCUUUUCCUUAUGUCUCUUACCCCUAUUUUCCUUUUUUCCUUUUCUUUUCCUUUGGUUUUUAUCUUUUUUUUUUUUCUUUUCCAUUUCUGA
rnacentral:lncRNA from 1 species